AGAGAGAGAGAGAGAGAGAGGGGAAGAAGGGCCAUGGCGAAUCUGUUCGGAUGGCUCAUGACCUUCUUCUUCCUCGUAUCUCUUCUCUCCAUUAUCGGUUAUCAGCUGAUUUGUUUCGCUGAUCUGGAAUUCGAUUACAUUAACCCUUAUGACUCGGCGGCACGGAUAAACAUGGCCGUCAUGCCGGAGUUUGUAAUACAAGCCGUUUUCUGUUUGGUUUGUCUAACGACAGGACAUUCUUUUAUGUUCUCCAUGUCUCUCCCAAACUUAUAUUAUAAUUUCAGAUUGUACGUGAGGAGAGAGCACUUGGUUGAUGUAACCGAGAUCUUCAAUCAGCUGAACUGGGAAAAGAAGCAACGACUUAUCAAACUCGGCUAUCUCGUAACCCUUUUAGUUGUUUCCCUAGUUUGGUUGAUUUUGGCCGUAGGAAAUGAUAAUUACUGAACCGGCUUUGAUGGCCCUGCUCCAAUUUUGUGGAUAAAGAUGGGAGAUUUAUCCGCUCUGGAAGCCAUGACGCUGGGAAGUUGGUUAGGACAUUAAGCUAGCUUUGAGAGUUGAGACUAAUUAACUUGCUGUUAUGCAGAGAAGGCUCUCGGUAAGUAACUCCUCCCUCCAUUUCCUAUUGACCUUGGCUAUGAAUUCCUCUAUUCUUCUUUCCAAAUCAUUAUCUUCCUCGUCUUCUUCACUAUCCUCAUCUUCUGUAUCAAGAUCAUCAUCAUUGUCUUCGUCAUAACCGUCAUACCCAUGAUACCCGUCGAGAUCCUCGAUGUCACUGCCGUCACUGCCAUGGUAGUUAUCAUCUUUUGUAUCUGUUUCAUAUUCCAAAGCUGGAGGAGAAGUGAGCUGAUGACGACCAGCGUCUUGAUGAUGAUCAGAUGGCUUAGGGCAUCCAAUAAAGACAGUGAUGAUGAUAACGUUGAACAUGACAAACACAGCUACUGUACUCCUAGAUUUUGGCACGUCGAUGAAGUCGUGGGUGGAGAAAAGAUGUUCAUGGUGCUUAGGGACUGAUGAGAGUAACAAAGUGAAGAAGAUCAUGAAAGGGAUACUUAGAAACCAAAAGGCAGGAAACCUAGCUCCCUUCAUGCCCGAAGAGGAUAUUUUCACUCUCUUUCCAAGCGGAAGGAGAUCUUUCUUUCAUGGCCUUUAUAAACAGUUGUAAUUUGUGAUGUUAAUGAGAGACUUCAAUCACUAAACAGUGGAAAAGGUUUGCUAACCAGAGUUGAGAAAGGAUAAGUUAUUUAUGGUUGCCGAGGAAAUUUCUCAGCAAUCACAUUCUGUCGAAACUUCCAUGUUGGUGGUUA